rnacentral:lncRNA from 1 species
UGAAUUUAGUGCUGAAAAAUGAACGAGAAUGAAGAGAGAUGAUGAACACAGAGAAGGAAGCUUCUGGAGAAAGCCAGAAGAGAAAUGAAUCCAUUAAGCAAAAAUAUAUGUCAGAAGGAAGCUUCUGGAGAAAGCCAGAAGAGAAAUGAAUGCACUAAGCAAAAAUAUCUGUCCCUACACGAUAUAUACAUAACCAUAUAAUACCCUUGGGUCGGGUCACAGAAUUGGGCUCAGACAUAAUUUCAACCCAACAUAUCAUCACAGCCCAAUACAGCCUACAUAUACAAUAUAUAC